rnacentral:rRNA from 1 species
GAUGAACGCUGGCGGCGUGCCUAAUACAUGCAAGUCGAGCGAACAGACGAGGAGCUUGCUCCUCUGACGUUAGCGGCGGACGGGUGAGUAACACGUGGAUAACCUACCUAUAAGACUGGGAUAACUUCGGGAAACCGGAGCUAAUACCGGAUAAUAUAUUGAACCGCAUGGUUCAAUAGUGAAAGACGGUUUUGCUGUCACUUAUAGAUGGAUCCGCGCCGCAUUAGCUAGUUGGUAAGGUAACGGCUUACCAAGGCAACGAUGCGUAGCCGACCUGAGAGGGUGAUCGGCCACACUGGAACUGAGACACGGUCCAGACUCCUAGGGGAGGCAGCAGUAGGAAAUCUUCCGCAAUGGGCGAAAGCCUGACGGGGCAACGCCGCGUGAGUGAUGAGGGUCUUCGGAUCGUAAAACUCUGUUAUUAGGGAAGAACAAAUGUGUAAGUAACUAUGCACGUCUUGACGGUACCUAAUCAGAAAGCCACGGCUAACUACGU